rnacentral:rRNA from 1 species
UAGGUGUAUCGCGUGACGCGACUCACUGAGGUGCGAAGAGAAAUCCUUGAACCUAGCCACCUGGGAAAUAGGUCGAAGGUGAACUUAAGGAAUUGGCGGGGGAGCACCACAACGGGUGGAGCCUUGCGGUUUAAUUGGAUUCAACGCCGGGAAUCUCACCGGAUACCAAAGCUGAAUGAUAGGCCAGGCUGAAGACUUUGCUUGGAUUAGCUGAGAGGAGGUGCAUGGCA